GAUCUCCAUUGGAAUUCACAGAAGAGAGUAGGGAGGAAAACCCUGGCGUAAACCGAUAAACGGCCCUCUCAGUGUUAUAGUAAGUUCUUCAAUCUUCAACUCUUUACUUUUAAAUUUGAGUCUAUUCUUGCUGGAUGAGAGGUGCAUGGGGACUAGAGAGAGAGAGAGAAACACAGGAAAAGAAGGAAAUGACGUAUGAGGAUUAGUUGGUUUGAGAAUAUUAUUGAGCUGCUUUUGGGAGCAAGCAGGGACCCUUAACAGAGAUGUUAUUUAAUUGGGAUGGACUUCACCUAUGUAGACUGUAUCUUGAAGGGUCCUUUUCCUGCUUUUCACUGCAUAACUUUAUUUUUUGCCAACUAUGGAAAAUAGGGCUUUAAAAAUUAUGAGACAGCCACCUAAUCCACCACGUCUUUGUUAUUUUACUUGGAUUAUAAAAGCGAAAGAGGACGGACGGCAAUAUUUCCCAUUCUUUUUUUUUCUUUUGGAUUUAAUUGGAUGGAAUUUCAGGGUAGAAAUGAAGUGGGAAUCUUUAUGUUGCAGGGAUCUACAUCAAAAAUUUGAAGAAAAAAAUAGGGCAUUACAGCUGGAGCUUUGGUGAGGCAAAUCGGGGUCAACUGUAGAUUAGAAGAAAAGAAGGACGACUAAUUGUCUGUCAUGCGUAACGUAGCCGUUGGGUUUAGAUUUCGAAAAACCGAAGGUUGGAAAGAACAGCAGUAGUGAACUUUUAGCCGAGACAAAUUACUUAGUUCACAAUUCAUCUAGUCAAGUGCAGUUUGUGAGUUUUGAGCUGCUGCAGGUCAUUCAGCAGACUGGGUGGUUGAUUCCCUCACUGCGGGUUAUUGAUCGUGUUUUCUGUUGGAUCCGAUCCAUUCAUCCUCAUAACUUGGUUUUGUCAGAGAUCAUCAAUUGGUUGUAAUAAAAACAAAGCAACAGUUGUGGAAAGCCUGCAGUAAUCCAAAUCUUCUGAACAAAAGCCUGAAGCAGAGAAGCAAGAAAUUCCGGUAACUUUCUGCGAUUUUUCUCUUGGACCUAUUAGUUUGUACGUAUUUGUGUAGAUGAGAAACGGGGUCAUAUAAACAGACAAAAGAGUUGAAUGAAAAGACUAGAGAGGAACCGAGUAAAGACAAUAAAUUUGUGUUAUGUAAGAAAGAAAAGAAGCCUCUUUCCCUUGAAUACUGUUAUAAUCUAUGAUUAACACCAGCUUUCUCUACACUAGUUGCACUUUUUUGUGUCCAGGAAGCAGCUUUGAAGGAAUGAUUAGGGAGAAUUAAUGUAACGUCUAUAAUGGAGGCAUUUCAACAGAGGUUUUGUUCUCAUUUUGCUGCUGAGUGCUUCGAGGAGUAAUGAAUGUGCUUUGGAGGACGCAGAGUUAAAAGGAAGGAAGAGAAAAAGGAAAAAGGUAAAUUUGAUUCCAUUAUAACCUUUUUCCUUUAUAAAAUCUGUUUUUGUUCUUACGCAAUUGGCAUUUAUGCGGUAAUCCUUUAUGAAAAAUUUGUUCGUUGUUUAUGCAAAUGGCAUUUAUAUAGUACAGAUUCACACUAGCUCAACUUCUCAACCACUUUUUUUGGCUAACAUUAACAGUUCGCCGAGCUUGCUUGCAUGCCCAGGACAGGAUCCCCUUUAAUUAUUAGGGGUCGUUUGUUAUAGAAGAAAUGAGGUAGUGUUAUUCCAAAACUUUUUGUUUUGGCGAAUACGUUGUUUGUCUAUUUGUUUGUUUGGAAGACUUGCUAAGGUGUUACAGGAGCUUAGCAAGAGGAGACUGACUGAUUAAUAAUAAUAAGAACAUUGAUUACAAGAGGUGAUAGGGAAGUUGUAAGGUAUUACAUAAUACUUAUUAGUGUUAAGAUUAUGAAGAUAUGUCGGUAGGUGAUUGUGGAAUGAUUUGAUGGGUCUACUACCUUUUGAUUUGUGAGCUAUGAGCUAUCUAGUGUAACCAAAAUCGUUAAAAUAAGAUGGGUGUUGUAUUAUAAAAAUAUAAAGUCAAC
rnacentral:lncRNA from 1 species